rnacentral:sRNA from 1 species
CUGGAUGUGGAGGAGGAUGACAUUGAGAAUGUCUUAGAGGUGGUUCAUGAGCAAUGGGUUAAUGAGGAGUCAUUGGAACUGAUACAGGAACAUGUAGCUGAAGAAGAGGGACACUUGACAUUCAGGGACGUGGCCAUAGAAUUCUCUCAGGAGGAGUGGAAAUGCCUGGACCCUGUGCAGAAGGCUUUGUACAGGGAUGUGAUGUUGGAGAACUACAGGAACCUGGUCUCUCUGGGUAAGGAUAAUGCCCCUCCAGAAGUUGGGGUCUGCCCUUAGUAUCUCUGCAUUUUCCCUUGUGUGCCUCUUGGGAGCCCCUGCAUUGCUUGACUGAGACUGAAACCCUGUUGACGUGGCUGGGCACGGUGGCUCAUGCCUGUAAUCCCAGCACUUUGGGAGGCCGAGGUGGGUGGAUUGCUUGAGGUCAGGAGUUUGAGACCAACCUGACCAAAAUGAUAAAACCCCAUCUGUACUAAAAAUACAAAAAUUAGCCAGGUGUCGCGGUGCAUGCCUGUAAUCUCAGCUACACGGGAGGCUGAGGCAAGAAGAAUCGCUUGCACCCAGGAGGCAGAGGU